rnacentral:RNase_P_RNA from 1 species
ACUCCUAGCACCAAUUUCCCAAGACUACGGAGGGGGCAAUGAAGUUUCAAUUAAUUGGGGUCACAAACCACAGCGGCCUAUGGCUCUAAUCAAUGGCACACUAGAAAAAGAGAGUUAGGGAGGGAGUUGCGGAUUCCUGUCACAGGGAAUCUGAGGAAAGUCCGGGCUUCCCAAAGGCCAAACUUGCUGGGUAACGCCCAGUGCGCGCGAGCGUGAGGACAGUGCCACAGAAAAAUACCGCCCUUUUUAGAAAACAGCAACCAGUAAACAGUUAACAGGGUUUUUCUGCUGACUAACUGGUAACUGACCACUGAAAAGGGUAAGGGUGCAAAGGUGCGGUAAGAGCGCACCAGCAGUAUCGAGAGGUACUGGCUCGGUAAACCCCGGUUGGAAGCAAGGUCGGAGGGGCAAAGGUUGGUCUUUUUCCUGCCCCAUGAUUGGUGGAACCGCUUGAGGAAUUUGGUAACAAAUUUCCCAGAUAGAUAACUCCCCAAGGGUGCCUCGCAUCCUGGAACAGAACCCGGCUUACGACUAACUCUCUU